GAAUACAUGCAAGUCGAACGAGGUAGCAAUACCAAGUGGCGCACGGUGAGAAACGCGUGGAUAAUCUGCCCUUCAGUGGGGAAUAANUAUCNGAAAGGAUAGCUAAUACCGCAUGAGGCCACAGUUCNUGCGGGAACAGAGGUUAAAGAUUUAUCGCUGAAGGAUGAGUCUGCGUGGGAUUAGCUAGUUGGUGGGGUAAUGGCCCACCAAGGCUACGAUCUCUAGCUGGUCUGAGAGGAUGAUCAGCCACACUGGAACUGAGACACGGUCCAGACUCNUACGGGAGGCAGCAGUAGGGAAUAUUGCGCAAUGGGGGAAACCCUGACGCAGCGACGCCGCGUGAGUGAUGAAGGCCUUAGGGUCGUAAAGCUCUGUUGUAUGGGAAGAAACAAAUGACGGUACCAUAUAAGAAAGGACCGGCUAACUUCGUGCCAGCAGCCGCGGUAAGACGAGGGGUCCUAGCGUUGUUCGGAAUCAUUGGGCGUAAAGCGUAUGUAGGCGGCCAUCUAAGUCAGGUGUGAAAUCCCCGGGCUCAACCCGGGAAGUGCAUUUGAUACUGGAUAGCUUGAGUAUGGGAGAGGAUAGUGGAAUUCCUGGUGU
rnacentral:rRNA from 1 species